rnacentral:rRNA from 1 species
CGCCCCGGCCGCCGCGCAAGCGGCGCCGGACUCCAAGGCGCCCGCCGCAGGGACCCAAAACUCUUUUGCAUUACGCCCAACGGCGGGAAUUUUUUCUCUGAGUGCAUAAGCAAAACAAAUGAAUCAAAACUUUCAACAACGGAUCUCUUGGUUCUGGCAUCGAUGAAGAACGCAGCGAAAUGCGAUAAGUAAUGUGAAUUGCAGAAUUCAGUGAAUCAUCGAAUCUUUGAACGCACAUUGCGCCCGCCAGCAUUCUGGCGGGCAUGCCUGUUCGAGCGUCAUUUCAACCCUCGAGCCCCCCCGGGGGCCUCGGUGUUGGGGGACGGCACACCAGCCGCCCCCGAAAUGCAGUGGCGACCUCGCCGCAGCCUCCCCUGCGUAGUAGCACACACCUCGCACCGGAGCGCGGAGACGGUCACGCCGUAAAACGCCCAACUUCUUAGAGUUGACCUCGGAUCAGGUAGGAAUACCCGCUGAACUUAAGCAUAUCA